rnacentral:rRNA from 1 species
GAGUGAACGCUGGCGGUAGGCCUAACACAUGCAAGUCGAACGGCAGCACAGUAAGAGCUUGCUCUUACGGGUGGCGAGUGGCGGACGGGUGAGGAAUACAUCGGAAUCUACUUUUUCGUUGGGGAUAACGUAGGGAAACUUACGCUAAUACCGCAUACGACCUACGGGUGAAAGCAGGGGAUCUUCGGACCUUGCGCGAUUGAAUGAGCCGAUGUCGGAUUAGCUAGUUGGCGGGGUAAAGGCCCACCAAGGCGACGAUCCGUAGCUGGUCUGAGAGGAUGAUCAGCCACACUGGAACUGAGACACGGUCCAGACUCCUACGGGAGGCAGCAGUGGGGAAUAUUGGACAAUGGGCGCAAGCCUGAUCCAGCCAUACCGCGUGGGUGAAGAAGGCCUUCGGGUUGUAAAGCCCUUUUGUUGGGAAAGAAAAGCAGCAGGUUAAUACCCCGCUGUUCUGACGGUACCCAAAGAAUAAGCACCGGCUAACUUCGUG